AACUCAGAUGUUGAACGUGAAGGAUAACGUUGCGUCAGCAACGGCCCGUAGGGCGAGGCGAAGCCGAAUCAUCCUGCACGACCCACCA
rnacentral:sRNA from 1 species